UGAGGAAUAUUGCACAAUGGGCGCAAGCCUGAUGCAGCGACGCCGCGUGGGUGAUGAAGGCUUUCGGGUCGUAAAACCCUUUUCUGUGUGACGAGCAAGGACGGUAGCACAGGAAUAAGCCUCGGCUAACUACGUGCCAGCAGCCGCGGUAAAACGUAGGAGGCGAGCGUUAUCCGGAGUUACUGGGCGUAAAGCGCGUGUAGGUGGUUGGAUACGUCUGCUGUGAAAUGUCCCGGCUUAACCGGGAGGGUGCGGCAGAUACGGUCUGACUUGAGGGUGACAGAGGAGCGUAGAAUUCCGGGUGUAGUGGUGAAAUGCGUAGAGAUCCGGAGGAAUACCAGUGGCGCAAGCGGCGCUCUGGGUCACAACUGACACUGAGACGCGAAGGCAUGGGGAGCGAACGGGAUUAGAUACCCCCGUAGUCCCUGAGCGGGCUGGCAAGGCGCAU
rnacentral:rRNA from 1 species